rnacentral:rRNA from 1 species
UACGGAGGAUCCAAGCGUUAUCCGGAUUUAUUGGGUUUAAAGGGUGCGUAGGCGGCCUGUUAAGUCAGGGGUGAAAGACGGUAGCUUAACUAUCGCAGUGCCCUUGAUACUGCAGGGCUUGAAUAUACUAGAGGCAGGCGGAAUGUGACAAGUAGCGGUGAAAUGCAUAGAUGUGUCACAGAACACCAAUUGCGAAGGCAGCUUGCUAUGGUAUAAUUGACGCUGAGGCACGAAAGCGUGGGGAUCAAACAGG